UGGCUCAGAGGGUAAAGCGUCUGCCUGCAAUGCAGGAAACCUGGGUUUGAUUCCUGG
rfam:TPA: Bos taurus chromosome 1, whole genome shotgun sequence.